AGAAAGUGUGAAUAUGGGAGUGUGGCUCUGUGCGUGCGUGAUGAGUGCCAGAUAGAUUCGCGGAAGAAAUUGGGUGGCUGUGUGCUGGCGUGUGAUUGUGCGCGCCGGACAUGGCCAUGUGAGUUGGUUCAUUCUUGGUCCGGUGCCCCUUCUGUUGGGUAAAACUUGGAUCUGGCCCGAGAUGAAGUCUCGCCCUGUCUCCCAGACUGGAGUGCAGUGGUGCAAUCACAGUUCACUGCAACCUCUGUCUCCUGGAUUCAAGCGAUUCUCCUGCCUCAGCCUCCCGAGCAGCUGGAACUAUAGGCGCACACCACCAUGCCUGGCUAAUUUUUGUAUUUUUAGCAGAGAUGGGGUUUCACCAUGUCAGCCAGGCUGGUCUCGAACUCCUGACCUCAAGUGAUCUGCCUGCCUUGGCCUCCCAAAGUGCUGGGAUUAUAGUCAUGAGCCACUGCACCCGGCCCAUCCUCAAAUUUUGGUAUGAGGUGGUGUCCUGGAAUCAAUCCCCCAUGGAUACCAAAGGAUGACUGUACUGUAUUCCUAGCAUGAAUUCAGUAUCAAUC
rnacentral:lncRNA from 1 species